rnacentral:rRNA from 1 species
GACGAACGCUGGCGGCGUGCCUAACACAUGCAAGUCGAACGGAGAUGCUGAGGUAGCUUGCUACAUUGGUAUCUUAGUGGCGGACGGGUGAGUAACACGUGGGCAACCUGCCCCAAAGAGGGGGAUAACACCGAGAAAUCGGUGCUAAUACCGCAUAACAUUAGAGCUUCGCAUGGAGCUUUAAUCAAAGGAGCAAUCCGCUUUGGGAUGGGCCCGCGUCUGAUUAGCUAGUUGGUGAGGUAACGGCUCACCAAGGCGACGAUCAGUAGCCGAUCUGAGAGGAUGACCGGCCACACUGGAACUGAGACACGGUCCAGACUCCUACGGGAGGCAGCAGUGGGGAAUAUUGCACAAUGGGGGAAACCCUGAUGCAGCAACGCCGCGUGGAGGAAGAAGGUCUUCGGAUUGUAAACUCCUGUCUUCUGGGACGAAGAAUGACGGUACCAGAGGAGGAAGCCACGGCUAACUACGUG